CCUAGAGUUUUGUUUUUGCUCAGGAUGAACGCUGGCGGCGUGCCUAAUACAUGCAAGUCGAACGCACAGCGAAAGGUGCUUGCACCUUUCAAGUGAGUGGCGAACGGGUGAGUAACACGUGGACAACCUGCCUCAAGGCUGGGGAUAACAUUUGGAAACAGAUGCUAAUACCGAAUAAAACUCAGUGUCGCAUGACACAAAGUUAAAAGGCGCUUUGGCGUCACCUAGAGAUGGAUCCGCGGUGCAUUAGUUAGUUGGUGGGGUAAAGGCCUACCAAGACAAUGAUGCAUAGCCGAGUUGAGAGACUGAUCGGCCACAUUGGGACUGAGACACGGCCCAAACUCCUACGGGAGGCUGCAGUAGGGAAUCUUCCACAAUGGGCGAAAGCCUGAUGGAGCAACGCCGCGUGUGUGAUGAAGGCUUUCGGGUCGUAAAGCACUGUUGUAUGGGAAGAACAGCUAGAAUAGGGAAUGAUUUUAGUUUGACGGUACCAUACCAGAAAGGGACGGCUAAAUACGUGCCAGCAGCCGCGGUAAUACGUAUGUCCCGAGCGUUAUCCGGAUUUAUUGGGCGUAAAGCGAGCGCAGACGGUUGAUUAAGUCUGAUGUGAAAGCCCGGAGCUCAACUCCGGAAUGGCAUUGGAAACUGGUUAACUUGAGUGCAGUAGAGGUAAGUGGAACUCCAUGUGUAGCGGUGGAAUGCGUAGAUAUAUGGAAGAACACCAGUGGCGAAGGCGGCUUACUGGACUGUAACUGACGUUGAGGCUCGAAAGUGUGGGUAGCAAACAGGAUUAGAUACCCUGGUAGUCCACACCGUAAACGAUGAACACUAGGUGUUAGGAGGUUUCCGCCUCUUAGUGCCGAAGCUAACGCAUUAA
rnacentral:rRNA from 1 species